GGCCGUCUAGCUCAGUUGGUUAGAGCGUCGUGCUAAUAGCUAUAUUACGCGAAGGUCUUGGGUUCGACCCCCACGAUGGCCA